rnacentral:rRNA from 1 species
AUUGAACGCUGGCGGCAUGCCUUACACAUGCAAGUCGAACGGUAACAGGUCUUUCGGGCUGCUGACGAGUGGCGAACGGGUGAGUAAUACAUCGGAACGUGCCUAGUAGUGGGGGAUAACUACUCGAAAGAGUGGCUAAUACCGCAUGAGAUCUAUGGAUGAAAGCAGGGGACCUUUGGGCCUUGUGCUACUAGAGCGGCCGAUGGCAGAUUAGGUAGUUGGUGGGAUAAAAGCUUACCAAGCCUACGAUCUGUAGCUGGUCUGAGAGGACGAUCAGCCACACUGGGACUGAGACACGGCCCAGACUCCUACGGGAGGCAGCAGUGGGGAAUUUUGGACAAUGGGCGCAAGCCUGAUCCAGCAAUGCCGCGUGCAGGAUGAAGGCCUUCGGGUUGUAAACUGCUUUUGUACGGAACGAAAAGUCUUGGGUUAAUACCCUGGGAUCAUGACGGUACCGUAAGAAUAAGCACCGGCUAACUACGUG